UGCAAGUCGAGGGGUAGAAGUCUUCGGACUUUGAGACCGGCGCACGGGUGCGUAACGCGUAUGCAAUCUACCUUUUACAGAGGGAUAGCCCAGAGAAAUUUGGAUUAAUACCUCAUAGUAUAUAGACUCGGCAUCGAGAUUAUAUUAAAGUCACAACGGUAAAAGAUGAGCAUGCGUCCCAUUAGCUAGUUGGUAAGGUAACGGCUUACCAAGGCUACGAUGGGUAGGGGUCCUGAGAGGGAGAUCCCCCACACUGGUACUGAGACACGGACCAGACUCCUACGGGAGGCAGCAGUGAGGAAUAUUGGACAAUGGGCGCAAGCCUGAUCCAGCCAUGCCGCGUGCAGGAUGACGGUCCUAUGGAUUGUAAACUGCUUUUAUACGAGAAGAAACACUCCUUCGUGAAGGAAUUUGACGGUAUCGUAAGAAUAAGGAUCGGCUAACUCCGUGCCAGCAGCCGCGGUAAUACGGAGGAUCCAAGCGUUAUCCGGAAUCAUUGGGUUUAAAGGGUCCGUAGGCGGUUUGGUAAGUCAGUGGUGAAAGCCCAUCGCUCAACGGUGGAACGGCCAUUGAUACUGCCAGACUUGAAUUAUUAGGAAGUAACUAGAAUAUGUAGUGUAGCGGUGAAAUGCUUAGAGAUUACAUGGAAUACCAAUUGCGAAGGCAGGUUACUACUAAUGGAUUGACGCUGAUGGACGAAAGCGUGGGUAGCGAACAGGAUUAGAUACCCUGGUAGUCCACGCCGUAAACGAUGGAUACUAGCUGUUGGAAGCAAUUUCAGUGGCUAAGCGAAAGUGAUAAGUAUCCCACCUGGGGAGUACGUUCGCAAGAAUGAAACUCAAAGGAAUUGACGGGGGCCCGCACAAGCGGUGGAGCAUGUGGUUUAAUUCGAUGAUACGC
rnacentral:rRNA from 1 species